rnacentral:lncRNA from 1 species
UCUAGAAUUGUUGCUUUGAGAUGAUUUAUCUCUCUAAGAUUGAUUUAGUAAAUGACCUUCUUAUAAUAAUUUUGGUCAAGCUUAGUGAAGAGUCCUGAUUUGCAAUCGUCGGACAGCAUACUGGCACCCACCUUGAAUAGAUCUGAAUACCAUCAGAUUUGAUCCCAACUACUAGGAUUUCAAGGACUAAGUCUAGGGAUUUGGCUUUAACAUAUAUAAAGAUCGGGAACAAGGAGAGCACCGCAGAAGAAGGAAUAGCAAAUAGAAUAGAGAGGAUAGAAGGAGAUCACGAGAGAUUACCAAUGACCCGACAAGGAUGGCUAUGGUUCAAUCAAGAGGGAGGGGUGGUGGAGCUCCACCGACCACGGCGAUGGCAUGAUAGGAAUGGGAGGA